AACUCAUGAUGAGGGAACCUUCUCAAAAGAUCUUUAAAUCUCUCUCAGGCACCAUAUAAUAUCUCUAAUUCAAUUUGAGCAUAAGAAGAGAUGUUGUUCCUCAACUU
rfam:Gossypium raimondii chromosome 3, whole genome shotgun sequence.